UGGAUCCAGACUUUGAUCCUGGCUCAGGACGAACGCUGGCGGCGUGCCUAAUACAUGCAAGUCGAGCGAGCUUGCCUAGAUGAUUUUAGUGCUUGCACUAAAUGAAACUAGAUACAAGCGAGCGGCGGACGGGUGAGUAACACGUGGGUAACCUGCCCAAGAGACUGGGAUAACACCUGGAAACAGAUGCUAAUACCGGAUAACAACACUAGACGCAUGUCUAGAGUUUGAAAGAUGGUUCUGCUAUCACUCUUGGAUGGACCUGCGGUGCAUUAGCUAGUUGGUAAGGUAACGGCUUACCAAGGCAAUGGUGCAUAGCCGAGUUGAGAGACUGAUCGGCCACAUUGGGACUGAGACACGGCCCAAACUCCUACGGGAGGCAGCAGUAGGGAAUCUUCCACAAUGGACGAAAGUCUGAUGGAGCAACGCCGCGUGAGUGAAGAAGGGUUUCGGCUCGUAAAGCUCUGUUGGUAGUGAAGAAAGAUAGAGGUAGUAACUGGCCUUUAUUUGACGGUAAUUACUUAGAAAGUCACGGCUAACUACGUGCCAGCAGCCGCGGUAAUACGUAGGUGGCAAGCGUUGUCCGGAUUUAUUGGGCGUAAAGCGAGUGCAGGCGGUUCAAUAAGUCUGAUGUGAAAGCCUUCGGCUCAACCGGAGAAUUGCAUCAGAAACUGUUGAACUUGAGUGCAGAAGAGGAGAGUGGAACUCCAUGUGUAGCGGUGGAAUGCGUAGAUAUAUGGAAGAACACCAGUGGCGAAGGCGGCUCUCUGGUCUGCAACUGACGCUGAGGCUCGAAAGCAUGGGUAGCGAACAGGAUUAGAUACCCUGGUAGUCCAUGCCGUAAACGAUGAGUGCUAAGUGUUGGGAGGUUUCCGCCUCUCAGUGCUGCAGCUAACGCAUUAAGCACUCCGCCUGGGGAGUACGACCGCAAGGUUGCAACUCAAAGGA
rnacentral:rRNA from 1 species